rnacentral:rRNA from 1 species
UGAGCUGGUGGUGGUCGCAGAGACCAGAGAGAAGCGACUGUUUACUAAAAACACAGGUCCGUGCGAAGUCGUAAGACGAUGUAUACGGACUGACGCCUGCCCGGUGCUGGAAGGUUAAGAGGACCGGUUAAUCACCUUCGGGUGGUGAAGCUGAGAAUUUAAGCCCCAGUAAACGGCGGUGGUAACUAUAACCAUCCUAAGGUAGCGAAAUUCCUUGUCGGGUAAGUUCCGACCUGCACGAAUGGCGUAACGACUUCUCUGCUGUCUCAACCACAGGCUCGGCGAAAUUGCAGUACGAGUAAAGAUGCUCGUUACGCGCGGCAGGACGAAAAGACCCCGGGACCUUCACUAUAGCUUGGUAUUGGUGUUCGGUGCGGUUUGUGUAGGAUAGGUGGGAGACUGUGAAGCCGGCACGCUAGUGUUGGUGGAGUCGUUGUUGAAAUACCACUCUGAUCGUAUUGGGCUUCUAACCUCGGACCCUGAUCGGGUUCAGGGACAGUGCCUGGUGGGUAGUUUAACUGGGGCGGUUGCCUCCUAAAGUGUAACGGAGGCGCCCAAAGGUUCCCUCAGCCUGGAUGGCAAUCAGGUGUUGAGUGUAAGUGCACAAGGGAGCUUGACUGUGAGACGUACAUGUCGAGCAGGGACGAAAGUCGGGACUAGUGAUCCGGCACCGGCAAGUGGAAGCGGUGUCGCUCAACGGAUAAAAGGUACCCCGGGGAUAACAGGCUGAUCUUCCCCAAGAGUCCAUAUCGACGGGAUGGUUUGGCACCUCGAUGUCGGCUCGUCGCAUCCUGGGGCUGGAGUAGGUCCCAAGGGUUGGGCUGUUCGCCCAUUAAAGCGGCACGCGAGCUGGGUUUAGAACGUCGUGAGACAGUUCGGUCUCUAUCCGCCGCGCGCGUCUAGAAACUUGAGGAAACCUGUCCCUAGUACGAGAGGACCGGGACGGACGAACCUCUGGUGUGCCAGUUGUUCCGCCAGGAGCACUGCUGGUUGGCUACGUUCGGAAGGGAUAACCGCUGAAAGCAUCUAAGCGGGAAGCCUGUUCCAAGAUGAGGUUUCUCACCCACCCUUGUGGUGGGGUAAGGCCCCCUACAGACUAUGGGGUUGAUAGGCCAGAACUGUAAGCAUAGUAAUGUGUUCAGGUGACUGGUACUAAUCGGCCGAGGACUUACCAAC